ensembl:lncRNA
UGAUGGGGAUCCCUGUUCCACUCAGGCCGUCUCCAUCAGCACCUGCUCCCACUGGUCUGCCGGCUACACCUGCACCUCCUGUUUCAAUGUUGAUGUUACAGCCUUUACACGUGUACAUUCAUUUUUAGCAGAAUAUACAUUGCAACAUUGAAAAGAAUAAAAAAAUGAAAAAUAUUUUAUAUUUUUCUAGCAAUACCAUUUUGAUGUUUUGUUGUGAAGUUUGCCUGAACUGGAUGUGAAUUUUAAUUGUCAUCUAUGCACAAAAUCUGUGCAUGAUUUCAAAGUAAGGGGGGGAAAAAAAGGUUCUCAAGUUCCCAGAAAAUGUAAAUGCACCUUCUCCUCCAGAACUUCCAGAACCUUCUAUCACGCUGCCAGCUCCACCAUCACCUGGAAUAAGGUCUCUCAAACAGAAGCGUACCAGUGGGUCCAGCUGUCGUCACUGCACCCCUGCCAGUGCUGGUUCCAUUCACUGUACCAACACCAGUGCCGGUCCCUGCACCUGCUCCUCCAGUACCUGUCCCGGUCCCUGCACCUGCUCCUCCAGUGCUGGUCCCUGCACCUGCACCUCCAGUGCCGGUCCCUGAUCCUGCCCCUGCUCCUCCAGUGCCUGUCCCGGCUCCUGCCCCAGGUGCAACACCACCAGCUCCUGGUACUGCACCAUAGCCUCCCCCUGGUCCGUAACCAGCACCAGGCACAGGCCCAUAUCCGCCAGGUCCAUAUCCACCAGGUCCAUAUCCUGCUCUUCCAGUUCCGAGUGCUCCUCCGGUCCCAGGGCCAUAUCCUCCUCCUGCUGCUGGGCCACCAAAUAUUACGUUCAGACCAGAUCCUGGGGCUCCACCACCACCAGGAAGCCCUGCGGCGGAGCAAAGAGGCGAGGGGCGUAGCUUGAACAAAGACUUGAAAUAUUUCUUAUAGUUUUAAAAUGUUUGUUGCUCAAAAAAUACUUGUCUUGCAUCACAGUAUUAUAUUUUCAGUAUUGAAAAGAUAUACAAUUUAAUAAAUGGAAUCACCUCCCAUGUCAGAUGUUCAUGUUUUAACUAAAUGUUUUAUUAUAAAGAUAAGUAAUCAUCAAAUUAUCCUUUUAACCUAAUCUAUCGAAUUGAUAUACAUUUUUUUAAAACUCUUCAGCUGGCAAUGACCACUGCAAACUGCAUGUUUACUUAUGAACAUUAAUCAUAUGAUGUUUUAUCCCCACCGUAUUUGAGAGACUUGGCUCCCCCCGGAUAUCCUAUAAGACAAACACUAGAGAGUUAAAAGACAUGCACACAGUCUGGCUUCAGUAAGACCUUGAUGUGCACACAUCAGGUACUACUCAUUAGCUAGUAACUAACCAGUUACUAUUAGUGAUUAUUUUUGUUACUGUGGAGGUUGUUCUUCUGUUCGUACCUCCAGCACUACCUAGUCCAAAGCCACCAGGUCCACCACCCGUUCCAACACCUGACCCAGGUAUCGCACCGGUCCCCAGUCCUGCUCCAGGUCCACCACCAGUUGUUAGUCCAACACCUCUUCCCGGGACCCCUCCUCCUACUCCGAGCCCAGAACCAGGCCCGACUCCACCACCAAGUCCUCCUGCACCCAGGGCUCCUCCAACUCCUCCAGGCAGACCUGCAGGUUUUAAUCAGAAAACUAAUCUUAGAAAUAGCCUGAUAACAAAAACAACAGACUUUAACCAUUUGCUAAUUUUCUAUAAAGACCAAUAUGACCGGUUGAUGUCAAACAGAUGAAUCUAUGAUUUUAGCAAAUAUCGUUUCUUACCAUAUUUACGAGCUUUGGCACCAGCAUAACCUGCGAAAAGAAGACGCAUCAAGGUCUGUUGCGAUGACUUCACUAGCCAGUGGAUCAAUUUGAAUAUUUGUUUAUUUUCUUAUCUUUCAUCCUAAAUUUGUCUCCCACCUCCAGGUCCAUAGCCAGCACCACCAGGUCCAACUCCUCCACCAGGUCCAUAUCCAGCACCAACAGGUCCAACUCCACCUUGUCCAUAACCUGUUCCAGCACCACCUGGUCCAUAACCAGUACUAGCACCACCUGGUCCAUAACCGGUACCAGCACCGCCAGGUCCGACACCACCUUGUCCAUAGCCUGUUCCAGCACCACCAGGUCUGACACCUCCUUGUCCAUUACCUGCACCAGCACCACCAGGUCCGACACCACCUUGUCCAUAGCCUGUAGCAGCACCUCCAGGUCCGACACCACCUUGUCCAUAGCCUGUUCCAGCACCGCCGGGUCCAUAGCCUGUACCAGCUCCACCAGGUCCGACACCACCUUGUCCAUAGCCUGUACCAGUACCACCUGGUCCAUAACCAGUGCCAGUACCACCAGGUCCAACUCCGCCUUGUCCAUAGCCUGUACCAGCACCACCAGGUCCGACACCACCUUGUCCAUAGCCUGUACCAGCACCACCUGGUCCAUAACCAGUGCCAGUACCUCCAGGCCUGACUCCACCAGUGCCUAAACCUCCAAGUGCUCCACUUAGCAUGCCUAUAAGGACGAGAAUAAUCCUAUUUUAUUGAUAUUCUUUGUUAUAUACAGUUAUAGAUUAACAAUACAGUUACAUACAGUUUUUCAAUUAUUUAUCUGUUCUUACCAUAUUUACGAGCUUUGGCACUCGCGUCAUACCCUGAAAUACAAAUAUAGUUAUAAUACAUUUGGAUUUGCAAUACAAUUUUUUACUCUUAAUAUUGUGUGUUGGAUCUAUUCCUACAUUUUCCAAAACACAAAAUCUACUGAUUUAUAGUUUACCUCCAGGUCCUGUUCCGGCUCCUCCCAAUCCAGCUCCAGUGCCACCUGGUCCAUACCCAGUUCUACCAGGCCCGUAACCAGCUCCUCCAGGGCCAGUACCAGCACCACCAGCACCACCAGGACCAAGGCCACCUGACCCAGUACCAGCACCACCAGGACCAAGGCCACCUGACCCAGUGCCGGCACCGCCUGGACCAAAACCGACCCCAGAGCCAGGUGCCACACCUGUGCCGAGGCCAACUCCUCCUCCUGGUCCUCCGCCUCCAAGGCCUCCAGCUGAGCCUGUGCCUGCACUGCCUGGACCAUAACCAUAGCCGCCCCCUGCUACACCUGUCCCAAUGCCUGAGCCAGGCCCCAGUCCUCCACCUGGUCCUCCUCCUCCAAGGCCUGUCUGACCUGGAGAGAUUAAAGUUCAUGUGUGUCUCAGGCACUAAAUGGUUGUUAAAAAAACAUAUUCAUCAUGUUAUUUUUGGUAGUUUGUACAAGUAUGUCUCACCAUAUUUACGUGCUUUGGCUGAGCCAGGACCAUAACCUGUGGCAUAAAACACUUAAUAUUAAUGUUUAAUACAUAAAAGUAUAUCCGCUGUUGAUAUAUUUAUUGUUUUCCAGGAAUACAUUAGAAAAACUGUUUCAUAGGUGCAUCCUGCACUCUGGUUUCCCUCAAAAGACCUAGAAAAGGGUGCAGUACAUUUACCUAAACCAGGUAUGGCUCCUCCAGGUCCACCUCCUGUUCCAACUCCGCCUCCUAAUCCAGGUGUGAUUCCUGCCCCUCCUCCAGGGAGUCUUCCAGCCCCACCCCCCAAAGCGCUUCCUUGACCAAGCGUUCCUCCUCCAGCUCCAGCUCCACCUGUUGGAAGGAAAUAAACAAAAAGUUGAUUAAUAAAUUUAGUUAUUAGAUGAUGCUAAUGCCUCUAACAACACAUAUUUAAAUGUAACAUCUGUUGAGAGUAAGGGUGUUGUUUAAACUAAUGAGUCUUUACCAUAUUUAGCUGCAGCUUUGGCUGGAUUCUUUGUUUUGCCACUCCCUGUAAUUGAGAGAAUAGAAAAUUUAAUAAAUUGUGUAUAUAUAUAUCGUUGACUUCAUGUAACUUUACAGACCGCUGUGGAGGUUACCACAUUGCGAGUUCCCGUGUACCUGAUUUUGGUGAUAUGAGAGGGUAACCACGGAAAACCCCUGGCAAUUGCUGUCCACGGCCAUCUAAGGUGAGAAAUACACACAUUUUAAUAUCAACAAUGUAAAUAAUUCAUCACAAAUCUGUAAUGUGACUGUUUGUUUAAGGCUUUGUGACACUGACUUCCUGCUCCUCCUGGUCCAGCUCCACCUUGGCCGAGUACUCCUGCCCCUGCGAGGAAUAAAGCAGUAAUUUUUAUUUUUAGUCAUGUGGCCCAUGCCAAGAUGUUUUACUCCAAAAUUACUACCAUUGAAUACAUCAACACACCAGUCUGAGGCCCAAGUCCAGAUCCUGUGGCCACUUCAGGGAGAACACCACGGCCUCCAAAACCUAGUAAGAGGCAAUGAGAAGACAGAAAACAUAUUUCAACUUUUUCUGUAAACACACUGAAUUCCUCACAAUGUGCCAUUUAUUCAUCUGUUGUCAAAUACAU